GGCCCCUUGGCGGAAUCGGCAUACGCAGGAGACUUAAAAUCUUCGGACCGCAAGGUCGUCCCGGUUCGAGUCCGGGAGGGGCUACCA
rnacentral:tRNA from 1 species